GACGUAGGGCGCGAGCGUUGUCCGGAUUUAUUUGGGCGUAAAGAGCUCGUAGGCGGCUUGUUGCGUCAGCUGUGAAAACCCGCAGCUCAACUGUGGGCUUGCAGCUGAUACGGGCAGGCUUGAGUUCGGUAGGGGAGACUGGAAUUCCUGGUGUAGCGGUGAAAUGCGCAGAUAUCAGGAGGAACACCGGUGGCGAAGGCGGGUCUCUGGGCCGAUACUGACGCUGAGGAGCGAAAGCGUGGGGAGCGAACAGG
rnacentral:rRNA from 1 species